GUCCACGCCCUAAACGAUGUACACUAGUUGUUGCUAUGCUAGACAUAGCAGUAAUGCAGUUAACACAUUAAGUGUACCGCCUGGGGAGUACGGUCGCAAGAUUAAAACUCAAAGGAAUAGACGGGGACCCGCACAAGCGGUGGAGCAUGUGGUUUAAUUCGACGAUACGCGAAGAACCUUACCUGGCCUUGACAUUGAAAGAACACUUUAGAGAUAGAGUGGUGCUAGUUUACUAGAGCUUGAAAACAGGUGCUGCACGGCUGUCGUCAGCUCGUGUCGUGAGAUGUUGGGUUAAGUCCCGCAACGAGCGCAACCCUCGUGUCUAGUUGCUAACAGUUCGGCUGAGGACUCUAGACAGACUGCCUGGGCAACCAGGAGGAAGGUGAGGACGACGUCAAGUCAUCAUGGCCCUUACGGCCAGGGCUACACACGUGCUACAAUGGGGUAUACAAAGAGCAGCGAUACCGCGAGGUGGAGCAAAUCUCAUAAAAUAUCUCCCAGUUCGGAUUGUACUCUGCAACUCGAGUGCAUGAAGUUGGAAUCGCUAGUAAUCGUAGAUCAGCAAUGCUACGGUGAAUACGUUCCCGGGUCUUGUACUCACCGCCCGUCACACCAUGGGAGUUGAAUUCAUU
rnacentral:rRNA from 1 species